UGGGGAAUAUUGGACAAUGGGCGCAAGCCUGAUCCAGCAAUGCCGCGUGUGUGAAGAAGGCCUUCGGGUUGUAAAGCACUUUUGUCCGGAAAGAAAUCCUCUGGGUUAAUACCUCGGGGGGAUGACGGUACCGGAAGAAUAAGCACCGGCUAACUACGUGCCAGCAGCCGCGGUAAUACGUAGGGUGCAAGCGUUAAUCGGAAUUACUGGGCGUAAAGCGUGCGCAGGCGGUUUUGUAAGACGGAUGUGAAAUCCCCGGGCUUAACCUGGGAACUGCAUUCGUGACUGCAAGGCUAGAGUAUGGCAGAGGGGGGUAGAAUUCCACGUGUAGCAGUGAAAUGCGUAGAGAUGUGGAGGAAUACCGAUGGCGAAGGCAGCCCCCUGGGCCAAUACUGACGCUCAUGCACGAAAGCGUGGGGAGCAAACAGGAUUAGAUACCCUGGUAGUCCACGCCCUAAACGAUGUCAACUAGUUGUUGGGGAUUCAUUUCCUUAGUAACGUAGCUAACGCGUGAAGUUGACCGCCUGGGGAGUACGGUCGCAAGAUUAAAACUCAAAGGAAUUGACGGGGUCAUAGCUGUUUCCU
rnacentral:rRNA from 1 species